GAUGUGUCCUCUGCAGCGGGAGGAGAAGAUCUUCCCUCUCCGUUUGCAGACAUUCCGGCCCUAGUCCAUGAUCACAGCUAUCUUCCCGUCCGCUUCAAUGCUCUUGUGGACAAUGCUCUUGUGUACAUUUCAGGAUUUGUUGUGCGACGGGCUCUGAAGAAGCUGUCAUGUGAUGUCUGCCGUGCCAGCCUGGUGACCGACGCUGCAUCUGCCAUCAAGGACCAGAGCUAUCACCUGCUGUGUCUAAGAAACAAUGGAGGCCUGGUGAUUCCAUCAGGGGGAACAGUUAGGGUCGUCAGGGCAGCAGAGUGGGUAAUUCGCCAGGCCUCAGAUAGUUGCAGACGAUCACGGCCCAUCCAACUGCUGGAGAUCACGUACAUUGUACGGAAGAGGAUUGGGUCGGAGGAUGUGUUUGAGCUCGGGGAGCACAUUAGGGACACUCAGUAUGGCAUAGACAGCCACCACCAUAGGCUGUUGACAUUAGUUGUGUCCUUGUUUUUUAAGCUAAGGCUGCACCACAUCGCUAAGAUGACUACACUUAGCUUACAGAGCAACAACAUGCGACAGAAGCUCAACAAAACAGUCCUUUUCAAAGGGCAUUAGCCCAAUGUGAGUUUCUGUUGGGUCUUCCCGUGAGGCUGGACACUGGGUUUCAGCGCCCCUCACCCAUCUUGGAUAGUUUUAUUAGACUUUGUUCUGUAAUUAGUUAUUGUGAAUUUAGUGUGAUCCUCUACAGUGUUUUGGAGAAAUCGUCAGCAAGGUAUGGUAUGUAUGUAAUAAGGUUAUUAGUUGUGUAAUGGUGAUGCGGUAGGAUGGUGGUAGUAUAGUUGUUGUUUUGGAAUGAAUAUAGAUAUGUAGAUAGUUUUAUUAGACUUUGUUCUGUAAUAUGUGAUCCUCUAUAGUGUUCGUGUUGUUUGGGAGUAAUCUACUGUAUGUUUCUAUGUGCUCUUAAUAACUAAUGUUUUGUGUGCAUGUACCCGUGGAGUUUGUACGUUUUUUGUCUCAGCUUCAUGUCUGUGAUAUUUGUAUCUUUGUCUGCUUCGUGUUUAACAAAACUUUGCCAAAACACACAAAAAAAAACGUUACUAAGAGGAAUUUUUGACUAUGAUAAUCUUGUAGUUGUUCAUUGUGCUUUGGCCUUUACAAAGCUAUUGUGAAUUAGUAUCUUAAGUGUAAGUAUGUGUUCUUAAUUAUCAAUGUUUUUUGUGUGCAUGUCCUUGUGAUGUUUGUCUUUGUCAGUUCCAUGUUUACCUAAAUGUUUGCAAAAGAAAAAAGAAAUAAGCUAAUAAUAUUGUCUCUCGUCUUGUCUCGUCUUCUCGCUCAAAGAUCUGUACCUUGCCGUGGUAAGCGAGCUUCUCAACUAAACAGGUCCUGUCUUGUGUUUGUGUAGUGUACUUAUUAAUACUAACCAUCAUGACUUAUAGUAAUACUAAUCCACUCUAUUUCUCUUUCUUCCCCUUCUUACCUCACUUGUGAGGUCAACCUUUACCAGUCCUCAGCCAUCCUUGUAUUUGAUGUCCCACUGACUCUCAUCGCACCUGAAAUCCCAUCCCUACAACUACCCUACCAUCUCUUGUUGCUGUCCCCUUGCCUGGACUUCCUGGCCCGCACAGCGCACAGCCUAGCGACCCACAACCUGGCUCUACUUGACAAUUCCUAAUCCCUAUGGACAAUUUAUUUCCUACACUGGACUCAGACAUGAGAAUCUCGCCAUGGCAAAAAUAUUUUUUUUCUUCAUGUGUGGCCCUAAUACUCCGUCGUACAUGUGUAAUGUUUUGGCGCCCUCUGAGUAAAAUUUUAUUGAAAUGUAUGUGUUUGUGAAUUGAUGUGUGUGGUUGAGAGUUUUUGUUGAAAAUUAGCUUGUCAUUUGAAGGGUGUGCUCCUGUGUGCGCAUAUGUCUCUAUCUGUGUCUAACACACUCUCGCAAACAUACACUCACUCUGGCAUAAAAAGAAGAAUUGUUUAAUUUCCACUGAGCUUGUGGACAUGAUGCGUCACCUGAACUCCGAUGGCUGCUGAGGCUGAACUGGCUGUGGGCCCAGCUGGAUGAGGACCAUAUUUUUUAAAGGAUCAUCAUGCUUCUGUAACACCUUUGUUCAAACAUUCUGAUUUUAGGAAAUCUUCAAAAAUAUUUGAAAAGUACCUUUAUAAUAUCUAAUGAAGUAAAUAUUUGUAAACAA